rnacentral:rRNA from 1 species
UACGAAGGGUGCAAGCGUUACUCGGAAUUACUGGGCGUAAAGCGUGCGUAGGUGGUGAGUUAAGUCUGAUGUGAAAUCCCCGGGCUCAACCUGGGAAUGGCAUUGGAUACUGGCUCGCUAGAGUGCGGUAGAGGGUGGUGGAAUUCCCGGUGUAGCAGUGAAAUGCGUAGAGAUCGGGAGGAACAUCUGUGGCGAAGGCGGCCACCUGGACCAACACUGACACUGAGGCACGAAAGCGUGGGGGGCGAACAGG